UAAGCCCAAUCGAGGAACAAAUCGUUCGAUGUUUCGAGCCCAUGAGGAGUUUGCCACCUGGGUCCUCCGACUCCGACACGAAGAAACGCGAUCGCGGGCGAAGGCGACGUGCGACGAUCAAGGUUGAGAAAUACUUACCACCAAUUCUGAGAAGUUCCUCCACCGUGCCAGGUAUAUAGGUUAAUGGCAAGCAAAAUAAAGGAUCUCCAGAAAAAAACUUGCAGAGUGGAAUAGAACAUACAAAUUUUUUUGUGCGACUGGUCCCUUGGACAACAAGAUUUGUCAUAUUUCCAAUGAGGUCAUCUUCCCUGAAGUUUGGUAUCACUGCUCCUAUCCAGGUUCUUUUUGGGUCAGGGUAUCGGUCGGCAAUCAUAUAGUUAAAGCAUCCAGAACAAUGAACUGCAAAAAUAGUUACCUGCGUUACAAAAAAGUUAUUCUUUUAGAAAUCAAGCAGCUUUUUGAAGCAAGACAAAUUGAAUACCAUUCUGAAAGCUUACUGAGAAAAGUUUUGUGCACCGUGUCCAGAAAUAAUUGAACCGAAUAUCCUUCUCAAGCCUGAGGAAAGAAAAUUAAUGAGAUUGUUCCUGUUCUUCUAUUUGUGAUAUAUGUACUGAGAAAUGGGAGAAAAUACAGACCUAGCAAACAGAGAACCGACACGAC